UAAGGAAUAUUGCGCAAUGGGCGAAAGCCUGACGCAGCGACGCCGCGUGGGGGAUGAAGGCCUUCGGGUUGUAAACCGCUGUCGUAGGGGAGAAAGGGUCGUUGAAGAAACGACUUUGAUCUAUCCUAGGAGGAAGUCCGGGCUAAGUUCGUGCCAGAAGCCGCGGUAACACGAACCGGACAAACGUUAUUCGGAAUUACUGGGCUUAAAGGGUGCGUAGGCGGUGCGGUAAGUGCGGUGUGAAAUCCCACGGCUCAACCGUGGAAUUGCGCUGCAUACUGCCGUGCUAGAGGGAGACAGGGGUAAGCGGAACUGAUGGUGGAGCGGUGAAAUGCGUUGAUAUCAUCAGGAACACCGGUGGCGAAAGCGGCUUACUGGGUCUCUUCUGACACUGAGGCACGAAAGCUAGGGUAGCGAACGGGAUUAGAUACCCCUGUAGUCCCUGAGCGGGCUGGCAAGGCGCAU
rnacentral:rRNA from 1 species